rnacentral:miRNA from 1 species
UUGACAGAAGAGAGAGAGCACAACCCGGCAUCAGCAAAGGGUCUUUGUUUCUGGUGGGAGUGUGCUCUUUCUUCUUCUGUCAG